UCCGUUGUAGUGUAGUGGCUAACAUUAUCGCCUUUCAUCAGGGAUGUCAGCUGGUGUAAGAGCGAUAGCUCAGGGUUCAAUCCCUGUAACGGAA